GUGCUUUCUUCAACAGCAAAUGUACUAAAAUUGGAAUAAUACAGAGAAAUAUAGCAUGGCUCCUGUGCAAAGAUGACAUGCAAAUUUGUGAAACAUUACAAAUAUAU